rnacentral:lncRNA from 12 species
CCUGCUUGUGGAGAGAGCAUCCAUGUUCAGAUGUUUGGGCAGGACUCACCAUCCCAAACCAUCUACAGAGCCUGAAGAGUUAAACUGCCUAGCCAAAGAAGACAAAAAUCCAUCAUUCCCACCUCCAGGUCAGCUGCUCAGCUCUUUUUUUUCCUGCCAAGAUGAUUGCUCUGCCUACCUCUGCCCAGAAGAGGAGCCAGUGAGAGGAGGCUCCCUGAAUUUCGGGAGCGCUGAGGAAUGUGCUGGAUCAGACACCGGGGAGGUGCCUUUUUACAUAAUUACCACAAUUUUUUAGCCGAAGACCGCCUCGGGCCCCCUGUGGCUAUGCCGCAGUCUCCUUUGCGAAGAUUUCGCUUAAUUAGCCGAGGGAAAAUAGGUUUGAGGAGGGUGGGUGGAAGGCGUUUGAGCGAGGAGGGGCUGCGGGAGAGGUCUGGGAGCAGCCCUGCUACUGUGUCCCUCUGCUCUUGACAGUGUAAACCGCGUGGAUACACCUGCGGCUGCCGCAGAACCGCGGUCUGCGCGCUGCCCGGAGCCGCCCCGAGCCCUGCCCGCCGUCGGAGGAGCAGCAGGUUGAAGGAAGGGUUAAUCACUUUCGGUCCAGCCGCUCCGCCGCUGGCCAAAUCACCCUGCUCGGCUCAGCGCCGGUGCCAAAGCUGCUCAAGCGACGCACAAACUAAACCCCGCGUCUUCAAGCCCUAGAAAUCUUUACUGGAGAGCGGCACGACAAACCGCUUGUUUCUUUGUGAAGGCUGCCAUUAUUUUGUUUGUUGUUACAAAGGAUAAAAAGAGGGACGGAAGGAUGUACAAAAAACAGGAGUGUGUUGAUUACUGCGCCAAGUUUUAUUUGUGAGGGACACAAGCACGCGAGAAUUGCCAGGUUGAUUUGUGGCUGGGAGCUGCGGAGCUCUGAGAGAGCCACUUGUGUUACUUUUUGCAGAAGGAGUUAAGGCCUCGCAUCAGCAGCACACAACUUCCCCUAAACUGCUGGUUUAAAAGUAACUUUAAAAAAAAGUAUUUAAAACAACAGUGUCUUUACUGGGAAGAU